rnacentral:rRNA from 1 species
CGAACGCUGGCGGCGUGCUUAACACAUGCAAGUCGAACGAGACGAUUUAAGCUGCUUAGAUGAGUCGAGUGGCAAACGGGUGAGUAACGCGUAGACAACCUGCCGCAAAGAUGGGGACAACAGUUCGAAAGGACUGCUAAUACCGAAUGUUGUAUCUUUCCCGCAUGGGAGAGAUAUUAAAGAUGGCCUCUACUUGUAAGCUAUCGCUUUGCGAUGGGUCUGCGUCUGAUUAGCUGGUUGGUGGGGUAACGGCCUACCAAGGCGACGAUCAGUAGCCGGGUCUGAGAGGAUGAACGGCCACAUUGGAACUGAGACACGGUCCAGACUCCUACGGGAGGCAGCAGUGGGGAAUCUUCCGCAAUGGGCGAAAGCCUGACGGAGCAACGCCGCGUGAGUGAAGAAAGGGGUUUCGGCUCGUAAAGCUCUGUUGACGGGGGACGAAUGUGCGGGAUGCGAAUAGUUUCUUGCAAUGACGGUACCCGUCGAGGAAGCCACGGCUAACUACGUGCCAGCCGCUGC